UAUUAUGCCGCCUCGCACCGCUUGUCAGGCUUGGCCUGUAUCUCGCCGUUUUCCAAUUUUUUUUCUUGCUCUCUCUCGAAACUCCACCAAAUCAUCUCUAUCAAGAGAUUUAGCCACUUCCAUCACUUUCCAGAUCUCAAGCUCUCAUUCCCUCUCUUUCGUCGCUUCCUUCGUCGGUUUUGCCCUUUUUCUUGCUCCGCACACCUCUAGAAGAAUCUGGGCUUCUCUCUUUUUUCUAAACAGAAGCAGAGAGAGGGAGAGACUAAAGUAGACUGAUCGUUCGAAGAUCAAAGAGUAAACUGAUCGAUCGAAGAUCAAAGAGUAGAUUGAUCGAUUGAAGAUCAAAUUCAUUGUCGUAUUUCAUAUCGAUUGAUGUUCUGGUGAGAGUUUUAUCAAGGCUAACAAAAGAUUCUUCUACUCUUUAUAGUAUAAUACCCGAGAAUUUGGCUGGGUUGGCUAAUCAAUUUCAAACCUUAACCGAGGUUUUCAAAUCAGUUCUCUAUGGGUUAACGAUCGAGCAUCAGUUACUGUGACUGGUCGAGUUUGGUUGAUUUUGGGCGGGAUCCAAUUUGUUACUUUCUCAGAUGGAUUCUGUGGGGCUAUUGAUUUGGAAAGUUCUCAACUCUUUGCUCAUAUCGAAGACAUAAGUUCACCGUAGAUAAUCAAAUUGUCAAGAAAAUUUUGUGAAGUACAUCGUGAUGGAAUU